CUUGACUGCCACCUCUGGAAACGUUGCCAUCACUGGUCCUUAUUUCCCCCUUCAGAGUCCCUGUUUCUGACUCCUUUAGUGUUUUCUUCUCUCAGAAGCUAUUUCCACCAUAUUUUUUUAUAAAACUGAUGAAGGGAAAAGGAAAAGGAUGAGAAAGCAGGAAGAGACAAGAAGAAAGUGAAAGUUAUCUUCCAUUUUUAAAAGGGUUCUUUAUACUGAAAACCUAAGUCGUAAGUGUGUGCCCUUGAAUGAUGCUAUAACUCCAUUAGUUUUCGAGAAUGGAGAAACUCCUGAGUGAUUUUCUAUGUUUGUACAAAUAAAUUCCAUAAUUCACAUCUCUUCCUAACUGACUGGCUUAAUUGGAUGCAUAUCAGUGGGUAUUUAAGUGCCACAGGACUGUGGAAGCUGAUAAGUACAUUUAGUCAAUCAACAAAUAUUUAUUGAACUCUCUGUAGCCAUACUUUAGGCAGUAGGAAUUGGGAAGCGAACGAAUCUCUGUCAUCAUUGGGCUUAUUUUCCAGUGGGCAGGUGCGCUAAAUGUGUUUCAUCACACAAAAAAAUCAGUGCUGAAGUUUGGGAAAGAAGACAUGGUGUAAGCAACUCCUGGUUCUUUGAAGUUAAAUUAUGCAUACCUACUUACAGGUAAGGGCGAAAUACUCACCUGCUUUACUUCUAGAUUUUAUUCUCAUUUCCUCUCAUUUUAGGGACUGAAGGUAUGUUGUGGUUGGAAGAAAAAGCAAACUGGAAUUGGAUAAACUUAACUAUUAUCAUGGCCUGGCAGGUGAUCACCGCUGAAAUAUUUCGAAGGCGCUUAAGAUGGAGAAAAAUCCAACAAACACCAUUUGAAUUCCGUUUAAAGAAAAUUUCUCUCUGAAGAGCAGAAAAGCAAAGAGGGCAAUUGAUGGUAAUUUAUGACACGACAAAAUCAAUUAGCUUGUUAUUGGAUCAGCUUGCUUUUAGAUUGAAUGUGUUGAAGAUAAUAACACACUCAGUUAACUCCUUUCUAUCUGUCCAGUAUGGCAAGUAGAAGUCAUGUAAUGUCAUGGCUCUGCAAGAAUGAAAGUUUUAGCUAAGAGUUGUCUUUGUUAAGAUGCUUCUCAGAUGGGAAAAAUAAUUCACCAUGAACUAGCCUAAGAAAAAUUGGAAAUUUAUCUAAAGUACACUGGUAU
rnacentral:lncRNA from 1 species